UCCCCGUUAUCCGGGGCGGUUUCGCUAGAGUGCCCGGCUUGACCCGCUGGCAACUAACGAUAAGGGUUGCGCUCGUUGCGGGACUUAACCCAACAUCUCACGACACGAGCUGACGACAGCCAUGCACCACCUGUUUAGGGCCCCGAAGGACACCGUAUUUCUACGGCUUUUCCCUAAAUGUCAAACCCUGGUAAGGUUCUGCGCGUUGCGUCGAAUUAAACCACACGCUCCGCUGCUUGUGCGGGCCCCCGCCUAUUCCUUUGAGUUUUAACCUUGCGGCCGUAGUCCCCAGGCGGUGAACUUAAUGCGUUAGCUGCGGCACUGAUCGGGUCAAUCCGACCAACACCUAGUUCACAACGUUUAGGGCGUGGACUAC
rnacentral:misc_RNA from 1 species